GCUAGUGCAAUUGGUUAUGCACUCGCCCUCGAAAAGCACGAAAUGCGGGUUCGAGUCCCGCUUAACG